rnacentral:misc_RNA from 1 species
AAGUCGUAACAAGGUUUCCGUAGGUGAACCUGCGGAAGGAUCAUUAAUGAGAUCAUGCCCUUCGGGGUAGACCUCCCACCCAAUGUUUACAUUACCUUUGUUGCUUUGGCGGGCCGUCGGAUUUCGGUCAGGCUACCGGCUUCGGCUGGUAAGCGCCCGCCAGAGGACCCCAAACCCUGAAUAUUAGUGUCGUCUGAGUACUAUAUAAUAGUUAAAACUUUCAACAACGGAUCUCUUGGUUCUG